rnacentral:lncRNA from 1 species
CCUUAUUCCUUUUUCACAACCUGGAUUUGAGCCCAGAGUGGGCCAUCAGGAUAGGAGGUUUUAGCAGGAGGCAAAGAAAUAGAAUUUUGGGGAUGGCUUCUUGUCAUCUUCUGACUCCACAUCCUCUGUGUUCCCCUCCAGACCCUCUUCUGGCUGUGCCCAAGUGCUGUCUCACCCUGGGCAUACACCUGUUACCAGCUUGGCCUGGGCCCCCAGUGGGGGGCGGCUGCUCUCAGCUUCACCCGUGGAUGCUGCUAUCCGGGUAUGGGAUGUCUCAACAGAGACCUGUGUCCCCCUUCCCUGGUUCCGAGGAGGUGGGGUGACCAACCUGCUCUGGUCCCCAGACGGCAGCAAAAUCCUGGCUACCACUCCUUCAGCUGUCUUUCGGUGAGUGGGACAAGGAUGGAGGGAGGGCAAGGACCUAGAGAAAGGCACUUAGCUCCUGGAAGCUCUGUCAAGGGAGGUAGGUCCAACUUUUAGAACUUAGAGGUCCUGAGCUGUAAUUUGCUUUUCUCUGGCUCAGAGUCUGGGAGGCCCAGAUGUGGACUUGUGAGAGGUGGCCUACUCUAUCAGGGCGCUGUC